UGGGAUGUAGCUCAGUGUCAGAGCACUUGCCUGGCAUCUAGGAAGCCCUGGGUUCAAUGCCCAGUACUACAA
rnacentral:tRNA from 1 species